GGAAAGUAUUGAACAAUAUUAUUAAAAUCACACUCAAGUAAAAUUUGCUGAAGAUCAUUCAAAAGCGGUUGCAGCAGUACAUUGACAGGGAACUGCCAGAAAUUCAAGCUAGAUUCAGAAGAGGUCAUGGAAUGAGGAAUAUUAUUGUUGAUGUCAGAUGGAGGAAUACUGGCUCUCUUAGUUAUCUAGUGGUUCCAUAACAGAGAUACCACAAGUGGAUGGAGUUAACAAAGAGAAAUUUGUUCCCUCACAGCCUAAUGGGUUACAAGUCCAAAUUCAGGGUGUCAGCUCCAGGGGAAGGCUUUCUCUCUCUGUUGGAUCUGGAGGAAGGUCCUUGUCCUCAAUCUUCCCACGGUUAAGGAGCUUCUCAGUUGCAGGGACCCCAGGUGCAAAGGAUGCCAUCUGCUCCCUGUGCUUCUUUCUUGGUAGUUGGUAUGAGGUCCCCAACUCUCUGCUUCUUUCCCUUUCCUUUUAUCUCUUGAGAGAUAAAAGGUGGUGCAGGCCACAUCCCAGGGAAACUCCCUUUAUCUUGGAUCAGGGAGAUGAUCUAAGAGUCGUGUUACAAUCCCACCCGAAUCCUCUCAAUAUAAUAUUACAAUCACAGAAUGGAGGACAACAGCACAUGGCCUAACCAAGUUCACACACACAUUUCUGGGGGACAUAAUUCAAUCCAUGACACUGGCUGAAAGCAGAGAAUACCAGAAAGAUAUUGUGAUAGUUAAGGUUGUGUUUCAACUUGCCUGGGCCAUGGUUCUCAGUGUUUUGUCAGUCCUAUGAUGUUUUGAUCACUUCCGUGAUGAGAUGUGAUAUAAUAUGAUCACCUCUGUGAUGGGAUCUGCUGUGAGUAGCCAGUCAGUUGAAAAGGAGUUUCCUUGAGUGUGUGGCCUGCAUCAAUUUUAAGUGGACAUUCUGGCAAGACUAGAGGGCUUUUGCUCACUGUGGAUCCUAUAGCUGGCUUCAAUUUGUCUGAUCUCCAAUUCUUCUGGUUUGAGCUAGCAGCUUACCUGCAGUCUUGCUUGCUGAUCUUGGGAUUCAUUGAUCUUUGCAGCCUGUGAGCAAGAGCCCUGGUCUCUGACCUGCCAAUCUUGGAUUUGCCACCCCUGCCCAAACCAAACCCACUGCCAUCGAGUUGAUUCUGACUCAUAAUGAUCCGAUAGGGCAGAGUAGAACCGCCCCACAUAGUUUCCAAGGAGUGCCUGGCAGAUUCAAACUACCGACCUUUUGGUUAGCAGCCAUAGAACUUAACCACUAUGCCACCAGGGUUUCCGCCACCCCUGUAGCUAUGAGAAUUAGGAGAAGCCUCUAUUCUGACCCAUGGACUUAGGACGUUCAGCUUCUAUAACCACAUGAGCCAUUUCCUUGAUAUCUCUGCCUCUCUAUAUAUACAUUUACAUGCUGUACUGGUUUUACUUCUCUAGAAACCCAGCCUAAGACAUUUGGUACCAAGAGUGGUUCUAGAGGAAUGAAAAUGUAAGGAUGAGUUUUGUACAUUACUUCUCAAGUCUGGAUAGUAUAAAAGAUGUUGAUGACUCUGCUUCCAGUAGUAACAAGGGCACUGCUAAUCCAUGGUGUAAGGUGGCAAUAUAAAUACGCAAAAUAUCACCACCAAUAGACGAGGUAUUGAUGAAAGGUGAGGCUCUGGGUGAUUGCAUGUGUGAUACCGUUCUAGAAUUUUGUCAGAAUGAGAAGUAUAAGGAAGCUGGUUGGUUCUUUGUACUUUCCCUAGACAAACUGGUGAAAGAAAGAGAUGAGCUCAGGGCUUCAGAGUCAAAGCUCAAGUGACUCAUAAAUGACCUCAAAGUUUCCACUCAUGCCCUGAAAGAAAGCCGUAUUUCUUGUAGUAACAGAGUUAAUAUUGUAGAAAACCAUACCCACAGUCUUAUCAUAAGAGUGGUUGAAUUACCAACCUCAAGAGGUAUCUGAAGUUAAAGGGAGGGCAUUGACUGGUAAGAACUGGAAUCCUUAAACUUGGGUUGGGGACAUAUGGGCAGAUAAUCAAGUAGCUGGAGACACUCAGUCCCUAAGUUUCGUUGAGUCUUUCCCGCCAACAGAACCAGUCCUUUCACUCCCAUAUGAAGAGAUUAUUCUAUGUUUGUCUGCUACAUCACCCUCCUGAGUAAAACCAUUAAGCCUUCCACCUCUAUUUAAUGAGAUUAACCAAGGUGUGUCUAAAGGGCCCUUGUCUGAGUCAUUGCCUGGGGCACCGCCUGAAGGAGAUGCUUUUCAAGACAAUGUUGAAUGUCCUCCAAACACUUCCCCAUCAGGAAUUUUGGCUUCCAGACCUACAAGUAGACUUAAGUCCCAAUCAAUCCCAAAAGGUGAAGUACAAUGUGUGACUCAGGAGGAGGUAUGCUACACUCCAAAGAACUGCUUGACUUUUCUAAUAUAUACAAAUAGAAACCUGGGGAAUAUGUGUGGGAAUGCCUAUUAAGGUUAUGGGAUAAUGGUGCAAGGAACAUAAACAUGGAUCAGUCUGAGUUUAUUGAUAUGGGUCCACUAAACAGAUUCUUAAUUCAAAGUUUCAGCUCAAGAAGUUAGGAAAGGAUCUAACAGUUUAUCUGGUUGAGUCACUGAAGCAUUGAUUGCAUGGCCAACCCACUGAACCUACUGCCGUCGAGUCGAUUCCGACUCACGGCAGCCUACACUAAAUCAAGGUGAAGUACAAGACAUGCUUUGGUAUACUGUAGAAGAAGGCAUCCAAAAGCUUAGGGAAAUUGGUAUGCUAGAGUGGAUUUAUCAGGUUAGAUUCACAGGUCCACACAUGAAGUGCCCAGAGGACACACCUUUUACCACAAUGUUGAGGGACAAAUUUGUGAAGGGAGGUCUAGCAUCCUUGAAGACUGCUGUGAUUGCUAUUUUAUGUAAGUUAUAUUUGACAGUGGCAACUGCCCUAUGUGAAUUAAGACACUUAACUCCAAUUGGGUUGAUUGGACCCUGCAGUGAUAGGGGUCAAGUGACAGCUCUCACUGGACAAAGACAAGGUGGGCGUGGUUACCGUAAUGGACAGCAGAAUCAACACAGUAAACAGAAGAGUCUGACUCCUAUGGACUUAUGGCAUUUUCUACUUAGUCAUGCUGUCCAUAGGAGUGACAUAGAUAGGAAAUAUACUAAAUAUUCACCUAAUCUGUACAAGUGGAAGAAUUCUAGGUCAAGUGAACAGCAGUCUAAAUGGAAUACGCAGAAUAGAGAGCCAUGGCUUCUUAGUCAAUUCCAAGGCUUGAGCGAGUUUAAAGAAUCACAAUCCCUUGAAUAAAGGGGAGGCUUAGUCCCCUCGAGGAAGGACUCCAAUUCACAGCCCAAAACUUAUACUGUUAUUCUUUCUAACAGCCUUCCCCAAAGGAACCUGAGGCCUUUUACGAAAGUGACAGUUCUUCUGGGAAAGGAAAUAAUCAUACUUUUCAGAGACUACUGGAUACUGGCUGUGAACAGGCACUAACCCCAGGGGACCCAAAAAGUCACUGUGGAUCACCAGUCAGAGGGGGCAUAUGGAGUUCAGAUAAUUAAUGCAGUCUUAGCUCAUGUCUGUCUCACAGUAGGUCCAUUGUGUCCCUGAACCCAUUUUGUAGUGAUUUCCCCAGUUCCAGGAUGCAUAAUUGGAAUAGAUAUACCCAGCAACUGGCAGAACCACCACAUUGAAUCCCUGACAAAUGGAGUAAGGACUAUUAGGGUACGAAAAGCCAAGUGGAAGGCCUUAGAACUUCCCCUACCUAGGAAAAUAGUAAGUCAAAAGCAAUACCGCAUUGCUGGAGGAAUUUGCAGAGAUUGGUGCCACCAUAAAGGACUUGAAGGUUGCAGGGGUGGUGAUUCUCCCUGAAUAAUUCCCUGAAUAAUUAAUUGCUUCAUUUGCUCUUAUGGCUAUGUUUUGUUCUGGAGGGGGAGAGACAAAUGAUGGAAGCACCAAGGCUUGAUUUACUGAUGGUGGUCCUUUGGUUGGUUCAUUAAUGUUUUGUAGAAAAUUGAAGACCUGUUUCAUUUGUUUACAGAGUUUCCCUGAAUGAGUGUGAACAGUGUAUAUAUUCCUAGAUAAAGUGCUCAAUGUUUGUUGUUGCAAUCUAGAAAAGUAGCUUUAGAGAAAUUUUCAAAGUACCCAAUUCUUUCUAAAUUGUAAAGAGGACUCUUGGGAUCUCAUUACAGAGCUGGCUUGGUUGAGCUAUGGUUGAUGGUAGAGCUCAUUUUCUACAAGUCCCUAGGGAUCCUGUCACCUGGAGAAUCAGAACUCAUUAGACAAGAAGGUGUCAGAGCUGGGAGGUCAGAGAGAACUAUUAGAGAAUUUGCAGAUUAAUUUAAAGUCAGAACAAGCAGUGCGACUUUGUCACAGGCUUCAGCCCCUUACCUGAAGUCUCAAGUUCAAGAAGUCCUGUCAAAAAUCUGUACCUCAACCACCUCAGGAAAAAGCGUAGCUCAUGGUGGCAUUACAGGGAACACAUGAGAGCACUGAAACCUGGACAGCAAAUGCUGAACCAGAAUCUGCUUUCUUCACAGUGGGCUUUACACUGGUGGAGAAAAAGAACGCCAAGGGACCUCUCACUGGAGCACAGUAAUGCAAAUCUUUAAUAUCUCUUGGAAAAUAAUGUAUGUUAUUUGGUAAAACAAUUUUUCAGAGGUAGAAGAAAGGAAGCUUAGAUCUAUAUGGGCUGAUGAUUCCGACUUUCUGCCAGAAACCUGAGGUUAAAUAAAUAUUGCAAAUCUCUGCAGAGACAUUCUCUUUUCUGUCUACGUUAUGAAAGAAAGAUAAAAGCUAUUCUCUAUUAUAAGGCGUGCACAUGAAGCUAUUUCUUGAUUUGUGAUUUCAGAUAUUUUGAUUAGCAGAAAUAAAAAAGGAAAAAGUGGAGAUUAAAUUAAAAAUGAAUUGAAAUAUUGAAUUUUAUUCAGUGAUUGUGGAGUUAGGAAAGAUACUUUAGAUUUUUUUCUGAAUCUCAUAAUGUGCAUGGAAAAUUAUCUGAGAUUCCCAAUCUCAGGAGGAGUUUUUUAUUGUUUUCUGAUUUAUCCAUGGGGGCAGAAAUGCUAAUGAUAUAGUCAAGGAAUUAACAUCAUGGAAUUGACGUUAAUUUUAAAAGAAUUAUCAUUUUUUUGUUUAUAUAGUCAUAACUGAAUUUCGAUUUCAUAAAACUUGUUUAAUUUAAAAAUUCAAUUAAAUUUAAAAAUUUAUAAACUUCAUUAAUUUUUAACAUGCUUGCAUUAUUUUCAGAAGAUAGACACAAUUAUACACAUAAACAUGUUUGUCAAAAUAAAUAUUAUUUAUUCAUCUCCUGCUCUGAUAUUAUAUCUCAUGGUAUGUGAUACAUUUCAGAAAGUUAUUAUUUCUCUUCCUGGCCAACUUGGUCAAUGGCAGAAAUCAGGCUCAAAUAUUUAUUCUUGGAAAGCAAAUUCUGAGGAAGUUACCCAAUGUCUAUAUUGAAAUGACUAUGUUGACCUGUAUGUUCAGUUAGUCUAAUGAAUGUGUACACUAUUGAAUCAUGGCCACAGAUUGAUUUUUUUUCAUAAUAUUGAGAAUAUGUGCUUGAAAUGUACAUAAAUAAAAUGCACCACUUUUCACCCAAUAGCUACAUGCAGACACAAAUGCUCAAACACCUUGAUAGUUAACUAUUAUUUUCUAAUAAGAAGAUUUUCUUAGUUUUAUUUUGUUUUAAACAAAUCUUUCCAGAAUUUAUUUUUGCUUCAGAUAGUAAGAAGUUCUCUUUCUGUAGUCAGCAAUAGGAAACUGUGAAGGUGGACUGUUGACAAUGUGUUCAGUCCAACAAUGCAUGUAGCUUGCUCGUGGAUAGGAAGAUAUAAUAUUAUAAAAAUGUUUAUUCUACCAAAAGCGAUCUCUACAUUUAAUGCAAUUCUGAUCCAAAUCCCAACGACAUUCUUCAAUGAGAUGGAGAAACAAAUCACCAAUUUCAUAUGGAAAGGAAAGAGGCCUGGAUACAUAAGGCAUUACUGAAAAAGAAGAACAGAGUAGGAGGCCUUACUUUACCUGAUUUUAGAACCUAUUAUACCGCCACAGUAGUCAAAACAGCCUGGUACUGGUACAACAACAGAUACAUGGACCAAUGGAACAGAAUUGAGAAUCCAGACAUAAAUCCAUCCACAUAUGAGCAGUUGAUAUUUGACAAAGGCCCCAAAACAGUGAAAUGGGGCAAAGACAGUCUUUUUAACAAACGGUGCUGGCGUAAU